GUCACUUUCUGUCUGUCCUUUCAUCAUGAUACAUGCACCCUAUACAUCCGCCAUGAGGAGCAUACAACAGAAACACCUUUACUUGACCCUGGUGGCUUUACUCUGGACCUCUUCUUUGCCUGCUACAGUUUUCUUUUAGGUGGUGGUGACACAGGCAGACUUGAGCAGUGGGUGGUGAACAUGAGACAGAAGAACUGGAGACCUACACCAUCAUCUCGUCUUUGCAGUGUUCAUUUUGAAGAGCAUGCGUUCACCAUGAACUCAAAGGGAAAUCGUUACCUAAAGACCAUAGCUUUCCCUACUCUGUUUCCAAGUCAUCAUUUGAGGACUUCUGAUGCAAAACACAGGAUUUUGGAUAGUUGUGAC